rnacentral:misc_RNA from 1 species
GAUGAAGAAGCAGCGAAAUGCGAUAAGUAAUGUGAAUUGCAGAAUUCAGUGAAUCAUCGAAUCUUUGAACGCACAUUGCGCCCGCCAGUAUUCUGGCGGGCAUGCCUGUUCGAGCGUCAUUUCAACCAUCAAGCCCCCGGCUUGUGUUGGGGACCUGCGGCUGCCGCAGGCCCUGAAAACCAGUGGCGGGCUCGCUAGUCACUCCGAGCGUAGUAAUACAUCUCGCUCAGGGCGUGCUGCGGGUUCCGGCCGUUAAAAAGCCUUAUUUACCCAAGGUUGACCUCGGAUCAGGUAGGAAGACCCGCUGAACUUAAGCAUAUCAAUAAGCGGAGGA